UAGGGAAUCUUCCACAAUGGGCGCAAGCCUGAUGGAGCAACACCGCGUGAGUGAAGAAGGGUUUCGGCUCGUAAAGCUCUGUUGUUAAAGAAGAACACGUAUGAGAGUAACUGUUCAUACGUUGACGGUAUUUAACCAGAAAGUCACGGCUAAAUACGUGCCCG
rnacentral:rRNA from 1 species